GCACAUUAAUUUUGUUGGAGUUAUGAAGGCUGAAUUCUAUUAUUAGCCCUAAAGCCUUAAAGGUAUGGCUGAUAUUUUAAAACAUUGUUUUUUACAAGAGAUAAUCUUGAAGUGGGAACAAAACUCCCAUGAAAAAAUGUAUAAUAACUUAAAUAAGUAUGGUGGCAUAAUGUUUAGUUUAUUUAUGUUUUUUCAUUUGAUUAAUCAAAUAAGUAAAAUCUUUUGUAAACUAGAAAAUCUUUUCACUUGGUAGCUCGUUCUUCAUCUUCUUCUUCUUCCUCCUUUCUCCCCAUAAUCCCCACCUCCCACUAUUCGAUUUGCCUUUCUAGACCAACCCAUUUUUGUCCUCGACCCUAAAAAUGGGCAAGUGGACUUAGUCCCAGCGGUCGACGUCCUCCAGAAGCUUGAAAGACAGGACCUUGUUGUCCACCUCCACGUCGAAC
rnacentral:lncRNA from 1 species